rnacentral:lncRNA from 1 species
GAUGAGGCCAACAGCUCUCUUCAAGAGCUCUCCGUGGAGGGGGCUGUGUGGAAAGUGCCCGAGUGGCCAUGCUCCCAGGCUGUCCUUCCACAGCCACACAGCCCAUCAAGGCAUUCUGCUCAACGAAGACUUUUCCUUCCUCUGAAAGAGACUUUCCUGCUAAACAACUUUUUUCCUUACUACAAUCUGAUUGCAGUAAGCAAGGAUGGCAUAACAUAACCAUCCAAAUAAGUUGAAAACUUUUGCCCACACAAAAACCUGCACACUGAUUCAUAUUUGCCAACACUUGGAAGCAACCAAGAUGUCCUUCAACAGAUGAAUAGAUAAACAAAACGUGGCACAUCCAGACAAUGGAAUAUGAUACAGCAGGAAAAAGAAAUGAGCUCCGGACAUUCUGGAAAGGUAAAACUACAGAGAUCAUAAAAAGAUCAUCUCUUUGAAGUCUGGGUAUUUGGUAAAAACAAAUCAGUGGUUAACAGGGG